GCCGCCCCGCUCCCUUGCGCGGCCGCCGCCGCCUUCACCUCGGAGCGGGCGCGGCUCUCAGGGCGGCAGCCGGAGCGGUGCGGGCGAGCGAUGCGCGGCGGGGGCGGCAGCCGGCGGCAGCAGGGACAUGAAGGUAUGCGCGGAAUGGCAGCGCCGGGAGCGCCCACCCCCCGCAGCCACCUAGGAGGCGGCGUGUGCAUGCAGCGAGCCGGGGCGGGCGGGCGGGCGGCAGCCGGAGCGCAGACAAUUGCGGGAGGAGGAGGAGGAGGACGGCAUGGGGAGGGCCGGCAGUCAGCACAGCGCGGAGUCGGGGGGAGGAGAAAGGGAUGCUCCCAGCCUCUUUUUUUUCCCCCCCUCUCCGAGUGGCUGCGCUAACCACGGCCGGACCGGUGGCCGCAGCAGCUGCCGUCCUCCAUCUUGCCUGGGAGGGGAACCGGGAGAGGAAACGCGACCCCGCCCGAGGAACAAGGGCGGCGGGGUUAUGUCAAUGAAGCAUCAAAAUAUCUUCUAUCGUGGACAAGUCAAAUGAACACGAAGAAAGCGAACAGCUUGUGAUAGGAAAUGCGAUUGGAUGCCUGGUUAAAGCAUGUCCUGGUGCAACACUGGAAAAGGCUGCCCAGGUUUAAAACUUCCCAGGAAGGUGAGGGGAGAGUAUGAAUUGUCUAUGUAAAGAACAUUGCAUAUGGAAGAGUUGUGCAAAGAGAUCUCUUGUGAAGAAAGAAGCAUGCACAGUAUCCAGACCAAGAAGUGCCACUAUGUCACCAUGUUUAUCCUUAAUGGAAUAUUCAAGCUGGAUGUUGCUCAGGUUCUUUUCCUUCACAAUUUGCUGUCUGCUUCAUGAAGAUAAAGAUUGCCUGAUUUUUCUAUUUCUAAGACAAAUAAAGAAGCGCAACAGCUUGAUUUUAAGUCACUGUUAUUUGCAAGCUUUCAAGAGAGUUUACGUAAACUAG
rnacentral:lncRNA from 1 species